rnacentral:rRNA from 1 species
AACGAACGCUGGCGGCAGGCCUAACACAUGCAAGUCGAGCGAAGCCUUCGGGCUUAGCGGCGGACGGGUGAGUAACGCGUGGGAACGUGCCCAUUGGUACGGAAUAGCCCCGGGAAACUGGGAGUAAUACCGUAUGUGGUCGAGAGACGAAAGAUUUAUCGCCAAAGGAUCGGCCCGCGUUGGAUUAGGUAGUUGGUGGGGUGAUGGCCUACCAAGCCGACGAUCCAUAGCUGGUUUGAGAGGAUGAUCAGCCACACUGGGACUGAGACACGGCCCAGACUCCUACGGGAGGCAGCAGUGGGGAAUCUUAGACAAUGGGGGAAACCCUGAUCUAGCCAUGCCGCGUGAUCGAUGAAGGCCUUAGGGUUGUAAAGAUCUUUCAGUGGGGAAGAUAAUGACUGUACCCACAGAAGAAGCCCCGGCUAACUCCGUGCCAGCCGCCGCGGUAAGAC